GGCACACGGGUGCCCGUGUUGACCUGCUGUUUCUUCAUAUUUUUGCCUUUCAGAGUGUCCAUAACUUCACCAUUCUUGCUUUUAAACCUGUGCAAUGGCCUGUAACAAUGACACUACCAAACGAAGCAUAAACGAGAUCUUUUUGACAUAAACUUGUAAUCGAAUGCAAUGCGAUACCAAACCAACAAAACAUGAUAAAUGACUCCAAAGCAACUAAAAACAAACAUAAAUCUUACAAAAGUGAUGACAAUAUGUCGGAUUAACGGCGGGAAUUCAAUGGAAAUGGUGACCGAUCACAACCCCAAACUUGUCUCAAUGUUUGUCCUCAAGUGAUGUAUUGAGUCCAAACAAAGGUCACCCUUGAAUUCAUUUUCCACAAUGCAACCUAGUCUUUCACCAUUUGUGUUCUUCCUUUGCAAUCGAGUUUCAGGUCUCUCCGAUUCAGGCAGUUUACCACAUUUCCACAUCAGAAACCUCUUCACCUGCAAGCUUUUCACACACUCGCAAUAUCUCUCAGGGUUAGGUGUGUACACUCACAGCACAGUGUCGCAUUACGCGAAAAACCGGCAGGAAAACAAGACAACAGAGCCGCCACCGUGCGUUAUUUAUCCCAAAAGAGGGAAAGGAAACGCUCAGAGUAAACCUGGAAAAGACAUGGUCUCGCGACCAAAGAGAAUGGGAUCGGGAGUCGGUUAUGCGAAGGGAAGGUAUUAGCACCCCUACGCAUCCGUCGUACUCGACGGGAUCCACGCACAAUAGGAAGG
rnacentral:lncRNA from 1 species